GGCAGUGACCAUACCACGUUGAAAGCACCGGUUCUCGUCCGAUCACCGCUGUUAAGCAACGUUGGGCCCGGAAUUGAGUUCAAUUGAAAUCUUUGUCU
rnacentral:rRNA from 1 species